rnacentral:lncRNA from 1 species
UAUCUGUUAUUUAGAACUUAUCAGAUUCAAACAAAACAUGUUGACCACUUUACAGUUUACACACAUAAUUGACCCUAUCUAUCUACAAGUUAUCUUAGACCAUAUAUAUUAAUCUUGCUACCCCAUCAAUAUCAAAAUUCAAAACUCCCACCUAAUUUAAGCCACUAGAUUCAUUCUUCAUCCUUUCAUUGCAUCUUCUUUCUUAAAAAAAAAACAACUUUCAAAAUGCAAAGAAACAUAAAUACUUCAUCAUUUUACGCCGUUUCGCCCUACUAACAUGCUCCAUCUGUCCCCCUUUGGAUGCACUUUUGGAAAUAUCGCAGUCUUUGGAGGUCUCUUGACCUGAACGUUUGGAGUCUUGAUCGGUUAUAAGAGAGACUGUUCACAAAUCACACACUAAGCACACAGUCGACCGAAUCGAAAACCAAGAAAAUAACAGAAGAGAAAAAGGCGUGAUACCUGAAGUGGCAGGGCGUAUGAACACUUCUGUUGACUUUAAAGGUGCGGAAAGGUUAAACUUGACACUCGAAUCUUUAAUGUCAUUCUCUAUUUCUUGUAAAAGGGCCACUGAGUCAAAGUAUUCAUCUGAAGUCAUGGUCAAACAGCUUGAGUUGGCGGAACUGGAAGAGCGUGAUCCUGGAUCGAUAAGAUCGUUUAACUCAAUAUAGUCUCCCCUCAAAAUACAAUCCAUUUCGGAUGACUGUUUAAGAAUGGAAUCUGGAGUCAUUCCCUACAAAACAUAUGUAAAUUUUUCAAAAUUCUGUGCAUGUUUACAAAUGAGAGAGCAAAGAACUCACCACAAGUUCACUCAUUGCAACCGUUUUUGGCGCUAAAUUUAUGGACAUUUUGACAUCAGUAUUAGCCAAAUAUACUCUACAUAAUGCUCUAAGAUCCUGCAUAUCGUUUAACCAAGCCGGUCACAACUUUCGAAAUCCAAAAUGCUCAAAUCAACGCAAUGGGCCUAAUAGAUAGCCUGCUUACCUUUGUAUUGUUGUCACAUUUCUCGGUUAUUGUAUAUUCUUGCAUCAUCCAAUCCGUCUUUCGGCUAUGCGAGGCCCGACCCUCAUAAAACCGAAGGGUCGUUCUUGAACCAGUGAUAGCUGAGUUGGAAAAUAUCUCACGAGGCUCCUCGGUUUCCUGCCAGAAUCCACACUCAGCAUCCGUUUUUACCCCGGCCCACAAGUACCACAAACCAGCUGCAGUUUACAGUUCCUUUGGUAAGAUUAAGACAAGAUAUAGUAUACACGAAUUAUGUUAUAUGGAUCGUAUACUAACCAGGUAGAUUUGAGGGCCUAUGUUGAUAAGGAUUUACAUCUGAAGUUACGUUUUCGGGCAAAGGUUUUCCCCUCUUGAAGUUAAACAAUGACGUAAAUAUCGCCUCAUUGGUCCAGUUUUCGUUUUCAGCUGGAAGUGGAAUGCAUGAUGAAGGAGGACACAUUUGAGCUUAUGUUCAAGAUGAACACAAUCUUGAUUCAAAUCUGUUGCUACAUGAAAUAAGACAACGGUUUUGAUUCGAUAUUUUUCUGACCCCAGAAAUUAUAUGAUUCAGAUCAAUGGUUCAUAUGCUUGAAAUGGUACUUAUUCGCCCUAAAAGAAAGAUCAACAAAACCCUAAAAAGUCAACAUGUUACCUUAACUUGAGGAAAACUAGUACCAGAAUUCAAUGAUUCAUAUUUUUAGCAUAACAGUACAAACAAGAUCAUGAACCAGAUAAACAAACAACUGAAUCAAAAAGCCCGAUAAAGAACUGAAUCAAAAAGUGGUCUUGUUGUAGGUGAAACAUGUUCCACUUUCCCAGUAUUGACUUAUUUUUUAUGGUCAAACUGACCUAUUCAGAUAUACCAAAGUCUAAGUGACAACUCACUACUACAAAAUUGGGCAAUUGUGACCAAAAUUUGCCACCGAGAAAACAAGUGGCAAAAUUAGCAACCGAUUUGCCACCAAAAUUUAAAAGGUCACGUACAACCUAUAUUCAGUAUCAAAAUGGUGGCAAAAUUUGCUACCUUAAAUUUUCAGUAGCAAAUUAGUGGGAAACAUGAUAAAAACCAAUAAAAAAAUUAAUUAAAUGAAAAACACAUUAAAUUGUGACCGGAUUUAUGGUAGCAACAUGAAAAUCUAAUUUGGCAGGCCAAUUUUACGAAUCCCUGCAUCUCAAAUGUUAGGUAGCGGUUUUUAUAAAGAUAACUCCUCUCUCCAACAUUUACUGCCCUACAUCGUACAGCUCCGAUCUCUUUUGAUCGUCAUGGUUACAGGUUCAUCAAAAUCUCUAACCCUAAACUCACUCCUAAUCCCGCUUCAUCAAAAUCUCUCUCCACCCCACCAUCAGAUGAACCAGCCCCUCUACCACGGUUCGACUCGUUGCCGUUGACUAACCAAUGGACUACUACAGGUGCUACAAUGUACCAUUGGCCAAGCUACUACUCUCUGCGGUUGCAAUUUGAAGUUAUGCCACUUUGAAGGUAUUUUUUUACUCCGCAUUCCAACCUUUGUGUUUUACCGUGAGUGCUAGAAUUUAUGAUGAAUCUUGAUCUGUGCUUUAAUUUUGGGGUUUAGUUUAAGAUAAUGUAUGUAAUAUUGUAAUUAGUGAUGUUUAGAUUAAAUGCCUACCAAGUGUUUGAUGAAAUGUAUGUGUUAGUUUUUUCCUCUAGUUUUAUUCACCAUUGUGCAGAUAACUUGGUUAUUAUCUGUAGUUGAUGAUAACAUGUUUGGUGAUAGUUUUUCCCCACACAAAUAAAACAUAAAUUGAAUCGACCCAUUUGUAUAUAAAGGGGUCAAUGUCAAAGUUGCCAGCUCAUAUCAGCAGUUACAUAUGCAGGCUCAUCAUGAAUCAUGAUUAGGUAAACAAGUAUGGAUCUUAUAGUGAUCAAAUCUAGCAACCAAACCACACUAACCAACACACCUUAAUACCUCUGCUAGGCUACAAGCCCUUUGGUGGUUCUGGUUCUAUUGAAUCGAACUUUUAGAGCCAAUAUCAUACAUAUAAGCAGUAAAGGGGUUGACCCAAACACGAAUUUUCAAGGUAAAUCUAAGUUCAUCUACCUAUUUCUAUCUUUAAUUAAUUGCUUAUUUAUCAUAUGAUUCUGAUUCCCGGAAGUCUGAUCACUUUAAGGACACAUCCAAACAGAAGUUACUUGCAUAUAAUAUCUAGAUAUUUUGAUUAGUGGGUCUAGUAAUAAGCACUUCGACAAUCUGACAUUCAAACACCCUCAUCAUGUAAGAUCCUAACCAGUGGCGGAGCUUGACCAAAAGUUUCGAGGGGGCGUAAAGUGAUGGGACCCAAAAUUUUUUUUCCUAUCGUUAUGCUUCGAGUCGGGUCGGGUUGGCUAUUCGAUUCAAAUCGUGUUAAAUAAUAAUAGUUCCAAAUAAAACAAAGUGUAUAUUUAACAAACUACCCAUCAUUUAUAUACAAAGUUUAUAAAUAUUUAGGAUAUACAAUUUUGGAAAAAUAAUCGGGGGGGCGAUCCUAUAUAAUUUUAAAAUUUUCGGUUGAAAAAUCGGAACUUGUACACUUCUAACCGAAAUAUUGGGGUGGGCGGAUGCACCCCCGGACACCCAUAACUGAUCCUAACCAUAAUUCAAACACCCUCAUCUUGUGUAUGAUGACGUAUACAAUCAUGUGUAUACCAUAUUUUAUAAGCAAACAAUAUUAUAAAUUGUAACAGAUGAUCUGGUGCUCAUAAAGAACAAGUCUACCAAAAAGCAUGUAUGAGAUGCCAUCUUGUUAUUUGUAAAUUUUCUCUAACUGCAUUUUGUUUGUAUUAAGGUUAGGAUCUGGUAAUUUUAGAGUUGUGAGAUUGAUGAGGAACCUGGGUUUUAAAAAGCACGCCUGAGGCGCAUCAAGGCGCAGAUCUGGGCGCCUCAGGUAGCCCGAGGCGCGCUUUUUACAAGAAGCCCCAAAAAAGCGCAUUUUUGGGGGUGUUUUCAGGCCUGAGGCGCGCGCCUCAUCUACAUAGGCUGUUUUUAAGCAUCAAACUGUUGUACAAUAGGUUUUUUUGGCUUGUACUUAUGCGUAAAAUCAUAUAUAAACCUUAUUUAUAGCUAUAUUUUGAAUAAAGGAUGCUAAAAACUUCUGAAAUAUAUAUAAAAAGUUAUAUAAUCACUUUGCGCCUCGGGUACGAAAAGCUCACCGCUUUUGCGCUUUGCGCUUCGCGCCUUGGUUUUAGACCUCGUCGCUUUUGUGCGCCUCUCGCUUUUUAAAACCAAGUGAGGAACAAGGUUACCACUUACCAAAAAGCUUGUUGCUAUGGUAUACAUGAUUUUCUCUGUAUCUUUUAUCUUAAUUUUAACAAUUUCGGUGUUCAUAUUACAAUAUAUUGUUACAGAACUAUAUGCAUUGCACAACCUAAAUGCUCAUGUUUCCGCAUUAGAUUUUAUUCAUCUGAAACUUAAGUUGCGGGCUUAAUUGUAAUCUUGGUAUUUUUUUUUGCCUGUAGAUUCAUAGUUGUUAAUAGCGGCUAUAGAGACCGCUAUAGCGCGCUAUGUAGCCAUGCGACGUAGUGUCGCUAUAUGGGUCAUAGCAACAAAUAGCGAUGAUAGCGAUUGUUUUUUUUUUUUAUGUAAAUAGCAUUUAGAUAUAGCCAUAAAAUAGCUGGAUUUAUAGGUUUUUGUUAUUGAGCUCAACUCGUCAUGUUUUUCUGAAGCUCGACUUGAGCUCGUUUUAGUAUUUUUAGAGUUUUAACAUCUUCAUUGAACUUUUACAAUUGCAAACACAGGUAGACGAUAAGUACCAAUACUCGACUGUAACGAGUUUCGUAAUGGUGGCCCGGUCAAGCAAGACCUCACCUCUCAUGCUGGUCCUAUUACUCUCUUCAUGUUUCUGAACUCGGUUACAACAGAAGAAAGUCUCCUUUCCCUUUGGGAUGAUGUCAAAGAAGAGGAAGUAAGAUCAGAAUGGGUCUGCUUGUGCACAAACCACCAAGAAAUGGCCCUACAGUUUUGGAGAUUGGUGUCCCAGAUCGCACCGCUGUUAAUGAAAGGAAGAAAAGAAAAGGAUUGAAAAGUUGAACUUAGUUAUAAGGAGCUCAUUAAGGAAAAUGAUGAAGAAAAAGAAAGAUUAAAUUGGAUUAUUGCGGGGUUGUUGGAUGGAAAAGAAAAAGAUAAGGUGGAUAAAGAUACUAUGCUCGAUAGGAUGUCACAAAUUGAAGCUAUGUUAACAAGUACAAUUCGAAGAUAGGCUACAAACACUUGGUUUUAAAUGUUUCGAUGUUUAUCAUAUUAGGAUAAUUUUAGUUAUCUGAAGUUUUAGCUGGUAUUUCUAUUAGAAUGUUUUAUAUGCUUUUGAUACAGAGAUGUUUUAUAUAAUUUUGGGUUUUGGU